rnacentral:rRNA from 1 species
GCCCUAGUAACGGCGAGUGAAGCGGCAACAGCUCAAAUUUGAAAUCUGGCCCUUGCGGUCCGAGUUGUAAUUUGUAGAGGAUGCUUUUGGUUAGGUGCCUUCCGAGUGCCCUGGAACGGGCCGCCAUAGAGGGUGAGAGCCCCGUCUGGUUGGACACCGAGCCUCUGUAAAGCUCCUUCGACGAGUCGAGUAGUUUGGGAAUGCUGCUCUAAAUGGGAGGUAUAUGUCUUCUAAAGCUAAAUAUUGGCCAGAGACCGAUAGCGCACAAGUAGAGUGAUCGAAAGAUGAAAAGCACUUUGAAAAGAGGGUUAAAAAGUACGUGAAAUUGUUGAAAGGGAAGCGCUUGUGACCAGACUUGGGCCCGGUCAAUCAUCCAGGGUUCUCCCUGGUGCACUUGGCCGGCCCAGGCCAGCAUCAGUUCGUCGCGGGGGAUAAAGACGUUGGGAAUGUGGCUCCCCCGGGAGUGUUAUAGCCCUUCGUGCAAUACCCUGCUUUGGACUGAGGUUCGCGCAUCUUGCAAGGAUGCUGGCGUAAUGGUCAUCAGCGACCCGUCUUGAAACACGGACCAAGGAGUCGUCUUCGUAUGCGAGUGUUCGGGUAUCAAACCCCUACGCGUAAUGAAAGUGAACGCAGGUGAGAGCUUCGGCGCAUCAUCGACCGAUCCUGAUGUUCUCGGAUGGAUUUGAGUAAGAGCAUACGGGGCCGGACCCGAAAGAAGGUGAACUAUGCCUGUAUAGGGUGAAGCCAGAGGAAACUCUGGUGGAGGCUCGCAGCGGUUCUGACGUGCAAAUCGAUCGUCAAAUAUGGG